ACGAAAACAAAACGUGAAUUAGUAGUCUAGGUGACUUUUACAGAGACCGAAUGGAAGUGAAAAUUCGGAAAUGAGCCUGGACGAACUCGUCGCGUAGUGAAUUGGUGAAAUUAGUAGCCAGUUUCGGUAACCACCGUUAUGGUUUGAGAGGCUCAUUUGAGCACAUUAGGUGGUACCGCGGAAACUAUUCGUCCUAUAG
rnacentral:ncRNA from 1 species